rnacentral:snRNA from 1 species
AGAAUGGCGUGAACCCGGGAGGCGGAUCUUGCAGUGAGCCGAGAUUGCGCCACUGCGCUCCAGCCUGGGCGACAAAG